ACAUCCAGAGAACUUAGCAGAGAUGCUUUGGUGCCUUCGGGAACUCUGAGACAGGUGCUGCAUGGCUGUCGUCAGCUCGUGUUGUGAAAUGUUGGGUUAAGUCCCGCAACGAGCGCAACCCUUUAUCCUUUGUUGCCAGCGGUUCGGCCGGGAACUCAAAGGAGACUGCCGGUGAUAAACCGGAGGAAGGUGGGGAUGACGUCAAGUCAUCAUGGCCCUUACGGCCAGGGCUACACACGUGCUACAAUGGCGCAUACAAAGAGAAGCGACCUCGCGAGAGCAAGCGGACCUCAUAAGGUGCGUCGUAGUCCGGAUUGGAGUCUGCAACUCGACUCCAUGAAGUCGGAAUCGCUAGUAAUCGUAGAUCAGAAUGCUACGGUGAAUACGUUCCCGGGCCUUGUACACACCGCCCGUCACACCAUGGGAGUGGGUUGCAAAAGAAGUAGGUAGCUUAACCUUCGGGAGGGCGCUUACCACUUUGUGAUUCAUGACUGGGGUGAAGUCGUAACAAGGUAGGCGUAGCGAG
rnacentral:rRNA from 1 species